rnacentral:rRNA from 1 species
GAUGAACGCUGGCGGCGUGCCUAAUACAUGCAAGUCGAGCGAACAGACGAGGAGCUUGCUCCUCUGACGUUAGCGGCGGGCGGGUGAGUAACACGUGGAUAACCUACCUAUAAGACUGGGAUAACUUCGGGAAACCGGAGCUAAUACCGGAUAAUAUAUUGAACCGCAUGGUUCAAUAGUGAAAGACGGUUUUGCUGUCACUUAUAGAUGGAUCCGCGCCGCAUUAGCUAGUUGGUAAGGUAACGGCUUACCAAGGCAACGAUGCGUAGCCGACCUGAGAGGGUGAUCGGCCACACUGGAACUGAGACACGGUCCAGACUCCUACGGGAGGCAGCAGUAGGGAAUCUUCCGCAAUGGGCGAAAGCCUGACGGAGCAACGCCGCGUGAGUGAUGAAGGUCUUCGGAUCGUAAAACUCUGUUAUUAGGGAAGAGCAAAUGUGUAAGUAACGAUGCACGUCUUGACGGUACCUAAUCAGAAAGCCACGGCUAACUACGU